rnacentral:rRNA from 1 species
UACGAAGGGGGCUAGCGUUGCUCGGAAUCACUGGGCGUAAAGGGCGCGUAGGCGGCCAUUCAAGUCGGAGGUGAAAGCCCAGGGCUCAACCCUGGAAUUGCCUUCGAUACUGUCUGGCUAGAGUCCGGAAGAGGAGGAUGGAAUUCCCGGUGUAGCGGUGAAAUGCGCAGAUAUCGGGAAGAACACCCGUGGCGAAGGCGGUUCUCUGGGACGGUACUGACGCUGAGACGCGAAAGCGUGGGGAGCGAACAGG